CUGGGAACACUGCGGUCGGGGCGAGGAAGCUGCCGGGGAAGUGAGAUGACGGUCGCGGGGGUGCCCAGGAGCCCUGAAAAACUUGUGCCCUGGACACGGCAAAAUCUGCAGGUUGCAGAAAGUCUCAACUGAUCCUGGCAUACCCCGAGGUGCCGACUUUUAGAGCUGAAGAUGCAAGAAAGAUCGGGAUCCUGCGAUGCACCGAACCUGUCUCUCGAAGUGUGUGCGCCCUGGUACAUUGAUACUCUUGGCCUUUGGUUCCUUGCGGUGUGCGUGUUUGUGUAUGCGGAGUGUGUUAUCUUUGUUUCUAGGGUGACACACCAUUUAUUUGAGAGGCGGGCAAGGCAGAAUCACUAGUUUAAUAUUCUGAAAAGCCAAAGUUAUGCCAUUUUGCUUGAGAGUGAGUGCAAGCUCUUGACUCCAAGGAACAGUGCAGCUAACAAUUCACCUCAGGCUAGGGCAGAAGCAAUAGCCAGCUUCUUGGUUCUGCCUGUGGCUCAGUUCCUACAUAAUUGAGUACCAAAUAAUAUGUAAACCUCUAGGGAAGCAAAAAAGAGUAAUUCAGCUUCUACCCCCG
rnacentral:lncRNA from 1 species